UUUCGGCUGCCAAAGGUGCCCCCGAAGGUUAGUAAGAGGACUUUCGGCCGCCGAAGGUAGAAGAUUCGGCCGCCGAAAGUAUGUGAGUUUCAUCUCUGGACAGGACUUUCGGCCGCCGAACCUGCCGCCGAAAGUGCUCUGUCCAGCCUUCUUAUGCAUGCUAUGUGUGAUUGUUUUAGGAUCUUUUAGAGGGCUUUUGGGGGAGUUUAUAGAGAUGUUCUAGAGUUGGUUUGGUCCCUCAUAUGUGUCCAUCUGUGUAGGAACAGAUCAGAGGAACCAGAGUGGUCAGCAGUGAGCACUGCUACAGAACCUGCAGAGUUUAUACAGAGUCAGCCAGAGGUGAGUGGAACUAAACUAAAUCUUUUAAAUUGAGAAAUUAAAUGUUUUAUCAUGUUUCAUGCAUCAUGAAUAUGUAUAGGUUGUUGCACUAGAACCACGAAGAUGUUGCAUUGCAU
rnacentral:lncRNA from 1 species